rnacentral:rRNA from 1 species
UACGUAGGUGGCGAGCGUUGUCCGGAUUUACUGGGUGUAAAGGGUGCGUAGGCGGCUCUGCAAGUCAGAAGUGAAAUCUAUGGGCUUAACCCAUAAACUGCUUUUGAAACUGUGGAGCUUGAGUGAAGUAGAGGUAGGCGGAAUUCCCGGUGUAGCGGUGAAAUGCGUAGAGAUCGGGAGGAACACCAGUGGCGAAGGCGGCCUACUGGGCUUUAACUGACGCUGAGGCACGAAAGCGUGGGUAGCAAACAGG